rnacentral:rRNA from 1 species
GACGAACGCUGGCGGCGUGCCUAAUACAUGCAAGUAGAACGCUGAAGAGAGGAGCUUACUCUUCUUGGAUGAGUUGCGAACGGGUGAGUAACGCGUAGGUAACCUGCCUUGUAGCGGGGGAUAACUAUUGGAAACGAUAGCUAAUACCGCAUAACAAUGGAUGACACAUGUCAUUUAUUUGAAAGGGGCAAUUGCUCCACUACAAGAUGGACCUGCGUUGUAUUAGCUAGUAGGUGAGGUAAUGGCUCACCUAGGCGACGAUACAUAGCCGACCUGAGAGGGUGAUCGGCCACACUGGGACUGAGACACGGCCCAGACUCCUACGGGAGGCAGCAGUAGGGAAUCUUCGGCCAUGGGGGCAACCCUGACCGAGCAACGCCGCGUGAGUGAAGAAGGUUUUCGGAUCGUAAAGCUCUGUUGUAAGUCAAGAAAGGGUGUGAGAGUGGAAAGUUCACACUGUGACGGUAGCUUACCAGAAAGGGACGGCUAACUACGUG